AAUCAAGGUGCACCUCGGUGGGUUGAACCCAAGACUAAUGUGCAAAGUGGAGGGUUUGAGUGCGGAUAUUAUGUCAUGCACUGGAUGUGGUGCAUCGUGACUGCCGGUUUGAAGGAUGACUGGCACAAGUGGUUUUCUGAUGGCUCAUCGUUAGACGUGGAGGCCAUCACAACAGUUCGACAGAAAUGGGCAACUUACUUUUUAUCUUUUAGGAAAAGCAGUUGCUAAAUUUGAUUUGUAUUAUGUACAAGUGCAUUUUUCCUGUGGUUUCAUCAAAGAAUUAGAACAAUUAUGGCUACAACUUUGUAUGUUGGAUACAUUAGAGGAUCAUUAAUUCAAAAAAGGAUAUUCAAUUUGCAUGGACUUA